GCGGCAGACACGCAAAGUGCC
rnacentral:siRNA from 1 species